UACGGAGGGGGCUAGCGUUGUUCGGAAUUAUCUGGGCGUAAAGCGCACGUAGGCGGCUUUGUAAGUUAGAGGUGAAAGCCCGGGGCUCAACUCCGGAAAUUGCCGUUUAAGACUCGCAUCGCUAGAAUUGUGGAGAUGGUAAGUGGAAUUCCGAGUGUUAGAGGUAGAAAUUCGUAGAUAUUGGAAAGAAACACCAGUGGCGAAGGCGGC
rnacentral:rRNA from 1 species